GGCAGGGUAUUUAUGGCCGGGCCCCGGGGGGCGGCGGCGGGGGAGCCAGGAGACCGCGCCGGGCAGCGGAUGAGGCGCGGCGGCUGCGGCCCAGGGCACCUCCCCCCGGCUUCCCGAACCCUGCCCGGUCCGACCCGAGGGGGAGGAUGGAAACACCAGCGGCGCUCUGAGCCCCUCCGGAAGACACCCCGCUCCCCGCCAUUACCACCCCGCGGACCUGAAGAAGCCACCGCCUCGUCCCCUCCGCGUCUCCAUCUCCAGAGCGGGGCCGAGCGGAAAAGCGAGCGAUGGCGGAAAACCUGAGGAGGCUGAUCUCGAACGAAUCUUUACGAUUGUUGCAGGGAAAGCUGGAGACCUGGGCGAAAGAGUAUAACAACAACUCAUGUGAUCAGAAUCUAAAUUUCUGCCUUGAACUCAUUGAACAAGUGGCCAAAGUACAGGGACAACUCUUUGGGAUCCUCACAACAGCAGCCCAGGAAGGAGGACGCAAUGAUGGUGUGGAAACAAUCAAGUCACGCCUUCUGCCUUGGCUGGAGGCUUCCUUUACUGCUGCUUCCCUGGGGAAGCCUGUUGACAGCAGGGUGCCCUCUCUACAGGACACAUUUGAUAGGGAGAGACAUAAGGAGUCUGAUCCUCGGGAUCGAGAUGUACAACUGGACUAUGAACUGAACACAACUCGUAUUCAACUCAACCAGGUUCAAGACGAGAAAUCUGAGAAAAGAAGUCAAAAGCAGCUCUACAGUGCAGUGAAUGAGAAUAGUCGUGCUGGAACUGGAAAGACUCUUGAAGAAACCAAGAACAGAUCGGUCAUCUCCCUUUUGGCUGCAGAGGAGGAAAUAAAUCAGCUAAAAAAGCAGCUUAAAUCUCUUCAAGCCCAGGAGGAGGCCCGCCACAGGAGCUCAGAGCCUAGGCACUCAGAUCAGCGAGGCUCUGACCUGCGGAAAUCGGACCAGGGGUGUGCGGUCAAGCGGAGCCCAGACCAGCGGGACCAGCGGGGCUCGGAUGUGAUUUCCGACUACGAGAAACAGCUCCGAAACCUGAAGGACGAGAUAGCCGUGCUGUCCGCUGAAAAAGCGAGUCUCCAAGGAAGGUCAGCCAGGAGCCGGUCUCCUAGCCCAGGCCCUCACAGCCGCAGCCACAGCCGCAGCCACAGCCGGAGCCGCAGCCGGAGCCGCAGCCGGAGCCGCAGUCGAUCUGCCAGCCCCUCCGCUGCAGUGGCCAAGAUCAGGAGCCCAUCCCCCAACCGCUCCAAACUGUCCAGCGUGGCGCGCAAGGCUGCCCUCCUGUCGCGGUUCAGCGACGCCUAUUCCCAGGCCCGCCUGGACGCGCAGUGCCUGCUGCGGCGCUGCAUCGACAAGGCCGAGACGGUGCAACGAAUCAUCUACAUCGCCGCAGUGGAGGCAUUCCAUGUAGCGAAAAUGGCCUUCAGACAUUUCAAGAUCCGUGUGAGGAAGUCACUGACAGCAUCCUACGUGGGGUCCAAUGACUUUGAAAAUGCUGUCUCGGACUACAUCGUUUGUCAUCUGGAUCUCUAUGACUCCCAAAGCAGUGUUAAUGAUGUGAUCCGAGCCAUGAAUGUCAACCCCAAGAUAUCAUUCCCUCCUGAGGUUGACUUUUGCCUCCUCAGCGACUUCAUCCAGGAGAUAUGUUGCAUCGCUUUUGCCAUGCAGUCAUUAGAGCCACCUCUAGAUAUUGCAUUUGGGGCAGAUGGAGAGAUUUUUAAUGAUUGCAAGUACCGCCGCAGCUAUGACUCGGAUUUCACAGCUCCCUUGGUCUUGUAUCACGUGUGGCCUGCUCUCAUGGAGAAUGACUGUGUCAUUAUGAAGGGAGAAGCUGUCACCAGGAGAGGGGCUUUUGUACGGUGGCCUUGCAUAAUGACAGUUCAUCCCAAGUGUUUGAUUCACAAUGGAAUUCAGUUCGAUCUGUAAGUCGAUGUCGAAGCAGGAGUUUGAGUCCGGUCUGCCCACGUAGCCGUAUUGGUUUAAGCACGCUAUCUCGAAGUCGGAGCCCUUCUCCAAUAAGAUGUUCAUUGCCAAGGUUUUGAAACCAACAGAGGUGCUCCUUUGCCACAGCCCACCAUCACAUCUUCUCCAGUGUCUCCAUCCGCCUGCCUUGUCUGCCUCCAACCUCACUUACCUUAAUGUGAAAAGGCAAUUCUGUGUAUCACUCCACACAGAGAGUUAAAUGCUUUGGCUUAGCGUGUUGUAACUUUA